rnacentral:tmRNA from 1 species
AAUUAAACGCUGAAGACAAUUUAGCAUUCGCAGCUUAAUAGCUGCUGUCUGACCUAGUGCACCUACACAUUAGGACCCAGGCAUCGAUUAUGUGGGAAACGACACAUACUAAGCUUUGCGUAUGUGGGCGUAUGAUGAAGCUACUGACUGCAUGGGGGCGUUGAUUCGCCUGUGCAGAAGGGAACUGGAUUUUGUCCGGAACAAUCAACUAAACCUGUAGAAGUACAUGGGAUGGUUUUUUGGACACGGGUUCGACUCCCGUCUACUCCAUUC